UGCCCAGACUCCUACGGGAGGCAGCAGUGAGGAAUAUUGGUCAAUGGGCGCGAGCCUGGACCAGCCAAGUCGCGUGAGGGAAGACGGUCCUAUGGGUUGUAAACCUCUUUUGUCAGGGAGCAACGCCGGCUACGUGUAGCCGGACUGAGAGUACCUGAAGAAAAAGCAUCGGCUAACUCCGUGCCAGCAGCCGCGGUAAUACGGAGGAUGCGAGCGUUAUCCGGAUUUAUUGGGUUUAAAGGGUGCGCAGGCGGAGGUGCAAGUCAGCGGUCAAAUUGCGGGGCUCAACCCCGUACUGCCGUUGAAACUGGCGUUCUUAAGUGGGCGAGAAGUAUGCGGAAUGCGUGGUGUAGCGGUGAAAUGCAUAGAUGUCACGCAGAACUCCGAUUGCGAAGGCAGCAUACCGGCGCCCAACUGACGCUGAAGCACGAAAGCGUGGGUAUCGAACAGGAUUAGAUACCCGCGUAGC
rnacentral:rRNA from 1 species